AGGACCCAGUAUCAUGACCUCAGUUUUUUCUGAGUUUCUUCUGGGUUCUUUGUUGCGAGGAAUGAACAGUAUAACACACUUAAAACCUCAAAAAGGUGAUCUCUGAUGCCAAACAACUCUAAUGGUUAGUUGCAGAGGUGGGACCAAGUCAUUGUUUUGCCAGUCUGAGUCAAGUCCCAAGUCUUUGUGCUCAAGUCCGAGUCAAGUCCCAAAUCAAAAGCAGUCAAGUGUCAAGGCGAGUCACAAGUCAAGACCAACAAGUCUCAAGUCGAGUCACAAGACCUACUAUUAAUGUUUCAAGUGUCAUAUUGCCUCUGUCAGUCUCCUCCCCCUCUCCACUCUCCUCUCCUCUCCACCCGGCUCCUCAUGAUCACCAGCUGCGACCACUCACCUCAUCACCUCACCUGCCUUUUUUAAGGAGCACCAGGAUCAUCAUUCUUCGCCAGUCCGUUGCCCCUGAUGGAAUCUGUUACCACGAGUGGUCGCUGCUGUCUGCCUCUGCCGGAUCCCCACUUGGAUCGUCUCUCCACGGUCACACCACGAGCCUCUGCCUCUAUUCCACGGUCCUACUCCCAAGACGGCUUUCUCCCUCUCCAAAGAACCAACCAGUGACGCCUCCAGCCUCGACCUCCUACCUGGAGCUUACUUCUCAUCCUGUUCAAGCUACUACCUCCUCGUAUCAUUAUUAAAUCCUUCAUCCUUCA